UGGGGAAUAUUGGACAAUGGGCGCAAGCCUGAUCCAGCCAUGCCGCGUGAGUGAUGAAGGCCUUAGGGUUGUAAAGCUCUUUCGACGGGGACGAUAAUGACGGUACCCGUAGAAGAAGCCCCGGCUAACUUCGUGCCAGCAGCCGCGGUAAUACGAAGGGGGCUAGCGUUGCUCGGAAUCACUGGGCGUAAAGGGCGCGUAGGCGGACAUUUAAGUCAGAGGUGAAAGCCCAGGGCUCAACCCUGGAACAGCCUUUGAUACUGGGUGUCUCGAGACCGGAAGAGGUUGGUGGAACUGCGAGUGUAGAGGUGAAAUUCGUAGAUAUUCGCAAGAACACCGGUGGCGAAGGCGGCCAACUGGUCCGGUUCUGACGCUGAGGCGCGAAAGCGUGGGGAGCAAACAGGAUUAGAUACCCUGGUAGUCCACGCCGUAAACGAUGGAUGCUAGCCGUUGGCGGGUUUACCCGUCAGUGGCGCAGCUAACGCGUUAAGCAUCCCGCCUGGGGAGUACGGUCGCAAGAUUAAAACUUAAAUGAAUUGACGGGGUCAUGCUGUUUCCU
rnacentral:rRNA from 1 species